GGAUGCCGAGUGGUAAGGCGGGGGACUGCAAAUCCUUUUUCCCCAGUUCAAAUCCGGGUGCCG
rnacentral:tRNA from 1 species